UGAAACAUCAUUAUCAGUUGAGGACAUCACCAAAGUGUGCGAGCCUGUCAGGGGAUUUGAUCUGUUCUCUGCAUGUCGUACACACUGCUCUGGUAUUACUUAUCUUGUAAAAUGUAAGUCUCCCGCUCUUGUCAUCGUUCAGGCUUUGCAUUUGAACUCCUAUGACUGGUUGCGGACUUGAAGGGAACGACUUCCUGGCCUUCCUGACAUCCAGGAAAAAGAGGCAGUAGAUAUCUACUGGAAAAGAGGGAGGAGAUGAUAUGCAGCAAAAGGCCCAGCCGGAUGGUUGCUGCUCCGUGUGGAACGUGUUCUAUCAGGUGUAACAUCUACCAAUGGUUGUACAUGACAGAGACCUCCACCACCUCUUUGCUGUCUUACUAGUCAAUCCUUCUGAUCAGGUCCUUUCCUAAAUGGUACGUUUUACAGUUCAGUGUGCGUUAAUUUUUCAACUUAAUGCUUUACCGCUGUUGAAUAAACCCUAUAUUGCUAGUCAUUUUAUUAAAACUAGGAUUUGUAAA